ACCGCGACAGCUGCAAACCCUACAAAACCCCGCAAGCCCCGGGCAGCCCGAGGGGGCGGGCGUAUGUAAAGCAGGGCCGGCGGAGAGCCAAUGGGAUUGGAGGAUGCUAAUUACCUCUUUUUUUUAUUCCCCAGCUCCACGCAGCCCCGCCCCUCAUACACGCCCCCGGCCCGUGACGGAGGCUCCAUGAAGUGGGGAGUCAGGGCGUGAGAAUUGGGGGACCUGUGGGAGCGUAGAGACGCAGAUGCUACCCCACCCCUCCUCUGCUGUCCCUGACCUUGAGCCUUCGGCUUUGAUACCAGAACAGGAGAAUGAUCCCACCCAAGUGAGCCAAUGAGGAUUACUGUUGGGAUCCUUACUGUUGGGAUCCAAGGCCAGGAAAUAUGAUUAUUACAACAGUACCUGGCACACAGGAAGCAAUGAAGAAGAUCGGUCUGGGAUAAGAAAAGAAAGGAAAGGCAAGGUGGUAACUGCAGAACAAUUGGGUCUGCACAGCUGAUGUUUCCUUGGAAAAUCCAGCCAUUCUUCUAAGAUGAGGUGAAUGAAUGAAUGAGUUGCAGAAUUCACUUGCCUCUGGGAAAAUGGUGAGGGUCCUAAAGAAGAGGAAAAUGAUCUAGACUUUGGUUGUGACAUGGAGCCAUGAAUUGGUGGAGAGACAACAGGAAUGCAGCAAUGAGAACUUCGCAAGGGAAAAAGCACUGGCAUUGAAACAUAGGCCUUCACGGCACACAUAAAAUCCUCUACCUGGACCAACAAUAAAAACUGGUAUCUUGGUGGCUGUCAGCUAAUAAUAGCUAAUGACAUGUAUUGAGCCCCGGGUUUAUGUCAGGCACUGUGCUAGCACUUUACACACAGGGUUUCACUUAAUCCUCAUAGAAAGUUUGUGAGGGUUGUUCCUCCUCCUGUUCUCUGAUCCCACCUCCUGCUUCCUUAGAAGAACUGUUAUCCCCUUUUACAGAUUAGGAAAUUGAGGUUCAUAAAAGUUGAAUAACUUGCCCAAAGUCACAUAGUUGUGAAAUGAUGGAGCCAGAAUCAAAUCUCAAUAAUUUGAAUCUAGCGCUAGCUUCUUCUUGCCUCAUUUUCUUCUAUUUCAAGACCUUCCUAAUUUUCCUCAAACUUUUAAUAUAAAAGGCCAGAUAGUCAAUAUUUUCAGCUUCAUGGACAAGUCUCUGGUACAAUGAUUCCACUCUGCCAUUGCAGUGCAAAGCUCACCAUGACAAUGAGUGUAGCUGUGUUCCAAUAAAACUUUAUUUGCAGAAACAGGCAGUAGGCCUGACUUGGUUUGUGGGCCAUAUAGUCUGCUGACCUCUGCACUAUGUCAUCACUCACUUGCUUCUCUUAUUAGCUCUCCCAUUGCUUCUACCACCUGCUACAACCAUGCCCAUUCCUGGUGACAUACAGAGUCCAGAUGACUUCAGUUCAGUUGUGACAGCACAGGAAGAUUACUAUGAAGCUAUUGAAGCUUCAGCUACAUCAGGGCACUUGUACAGGCUUCUUCUAAGGCCCUAGGUGGGUCUCUAGCAAUUGCAGAGGGAGAUAUAUACAGAUAUAGAUAUAUUUGAUUUGCAUAAGAAAUAUAUUUUAACAAUACCUCCUUUUCCUCCUACUUCCCCUCACGCAGGAGGCAUUGAAAUGGUUAUGGGCAUUUUGGGGGUCUGGCCUAAGAGGAACAAUUUAAUUUGGUUCCAGGGGUAUAUUUUUGCGGUUCACAGUCUUAUAUGUGUGUGGUUAGGCUAUUGCCUGCCACCUAGUGUGGGAAUGGCUUCCAGAGCACUCCUAUGACCCACUGUGGCACCCGUCCAUCAUCGUAACCUGAAGGUGUAGGGCUAAAGAUGACACAGUGCCAGGAAAGUGUCCUACAGAGCCUGGCACUGGAAGCAAGUGGGUGGCAGGGAGAAACAGGCUUAAAAUGUAGCAAGGCAUUGCCCUGUCUGCGGAAAAUUCCUUAAAGCAUCAGACAUGUCAAUUUCUUAGUGGAGGACUGGGUUCUCAGCCAAGUCUAAUCAAACCAGAAUUUCUCUCUUUUCAGGAAAAUACUUGAUCACGCAGCACACGUGACUGUGAACGCACUACACAUUUUUUACGGGUAGUGCACAGAACAGUAAGGCGCUUAAUGAACGUUAGCUACUUUAUAUCAUUUUGCCCUCAUUGUUCUACAAAAAUGAGUGGAAAAUAGAAAAUUGAUAACAUUGGUAUUAGUACUAAGAAACAUGGCUCUCAGAAAUGUAACACAAUAUUAAGAACCCAGAGGGAGAACAUGGAGCAGACAAAUCAGUGGAUUUGCAGCCUCAUGUUGAUGCUUACUGACGUAAGCUGACCGACCAUAUCCAUUGGUGAAGGAAAAGAAUAAGAUGAAAGAACACGUACAAAGUAAGGGACCCAUAUCAUCAAAGAUGAUGCAUGACUAGAAAUUCCACUGUGUUUCUGCAACUGGGAGGAAGCCUCCCCUCCUUCACCUCUUAUGACAUUUAACUUAACACAUUUUCAGCAGGUCAUUUGUAUAAAAGCUGGACAGUGACUAAAGACACCUGAUGUCCCCGAGCCUCAGCUUCUUGAUCUGUAAAAUGGGGAUGAUACUAAUAGGAUUAUUGUGAGACUUGCACUAGGAAAUGUGUGUGAAUGUGUGUAGCAGAGGGUCAGGCCACCAGUGGGUGCUCAAUAUGUUUAACUCUCUUCCCCACACCCAGUUGUUGGACAUGGAGGGAUCAGCAGGCCAACUUUAAGGGCCUCGUUUGCCAGUGUUUGCCGAUGUUCCUACCAUUUCCCCAGUCUGUCCACGGGCUUAGGGAUGGUGCUGAGUAACAUCCUACACUUGCUCAGAAAUGACUUCAAUUGUCUGCAGUAGGUGCAGCUCCCUGGUCUGACAUGAGAGUGUUUGACAACCCUGUGCUGCUAGGAAAUAGAUCCAGAGUGAUGAGUGCUCCAGAGAAGGUAUGAAAAGGAAGGGAAACGCCCUGAACCUUUGCAGGGAAGAAGAAAUAAUGGAGAACUGAUCCUCAUUGAACUGGCCCUGAACUUGAUCCUUGGAGAGAGGUGCCUAUGCCAUGAGCAUUUCACCCUCGCAUCUAUCCUGCAAGCUGGAGAUUCUUAUUCCCUUUUCACAGAUGAGGAAACUGAGGCACACAGGUUCCAAGGGACUUUCCCAAGGACACAUGGCAGGACAGGGGCAGAGCAGGGCUAGAGCUCCAAUUCCCUGAAUCCAUCUCUAGUGCUCUGUGGUACUUACCCUCCCCCAUCACAGAUUCCAUGGCUCUACCCCCCUGCUCAUGGCCAAGGAUUUGGGAUGGCUCCUCUGGUCCUGCUCUACCCCUACCACCUACCCCUACCACACAAGAGGAAAGACAUUCUGUGUUGUUGCUCUCCCUGAUAAGCCAAGCAUCUAGAAAUUCUGUCUAAGGUCACGGGGGUGUCUCUGAGGACGCAGGACCUUGAAUUCCAAGUCCAGACAGCUUGGUCUCUAUUUUUGGGAGUUUGUCAGAAAGAAAACACUCUAUUCAAGAUCUUCACUCAUUCAUUCAUUCCAGUGUGUGAUGAGGGCCUGCUAUGUAUCAAGAGCUGUGCUGGGUGCAAGGAUACAAUGGUGAACAUGAUAGAAGUGGUUCCUGUCGUCCUAGGCCUUGUGGUCCAGUGGGGAAGACAGACAAAAAGACGGGCAUACAAAUAAAACAUGUUACUGCAAAGGGUGAUGAGGAUUAAGUAGGAGUCCAAAUAGGAGGCUGAGAGAGAGACUAAAACUUUGGUUCAGGAGUUGCAGGGAGGCCCCUCUGGGGAGGUGACAUUUAAGCCUAGUCCUAAAGGAUGCAGAGGAUGCGGCAAACAAAGGGUGAGGAGUGGGGGUGGGGAAGGUUCCAAGGUAAAGGGAACAGCACGUGCCAAGCCCUGAGACAGGAAAUUUGGGCCUGUUUGAAGAGCUAAGGAGGCCAGUGUGGCUGGAGCACAGGGAGAGACGAAGAGAGUGGUCAGAGCUGAGUUUGCAGAGUUUGUCAGCCAGCUAAUGGAGGGCCUUGUAGUCAUGGGAAGGAGCCGGCUUUUACUCUGAGUGCCACAGGAAGCCACUGAACUUGAAACGCAUUGCUUUCUAGCUGUAUUUUGAUGUUAUAGUAAAUCUGUAGAAAUGUGAACGUCUCAAUUUGGACAUUCAUCUCAUGGUAGGCUGAUUGAAUUAAUAACCUCAAUUCUUCACCCCUCUCUAUAUCCAUGUGCUUUUUCAUGUGACUUUCCAAUUCUCAAUAAAGAUUUACCUGAAAUCUGGGCUGGACGUAUGACUUACCUUGAAAGGCCUGUUAGCAAAUGUGAUGCAAGC